AAAAAGUUGUGGUGGCCUAGUGGGCAAAGAACCAACCUCUCGAGUAUGAGGGUGCGGGUUCGAUUCCAGGUCAGGCAAGUACCAAUGCAACUUUUCUAAGUUUGUAUGUACUUUCUAAGUAUAUCUUAGACACCAAUGACUGUGUUUCGGAUGGCACGUUAAACUGUAGGUCCCGGCUGUCAUUGAACAUCCUUGGCAGUCGUUACGGGUAGUCAGAAGCCAGUAAGUCUGACACCAG
rnacentral:lncRNA from 1 species